rnacentral:lncRNA from 1 species
GAUGGUGAACUGUGCCUGAGGAGGGCGAAGCCAGAGGACACUCUGGUGGAGGUCCGUUGCAGUGCUGUCGUGCAAAUCCAUCGUCCGACCUGGGUAUAGGGGUGAAAGACUAAUUGAGCCAUCUACUAGCUGGUUCCCUCAGAAGUUUCCCUUAGGAUAGUUGGUGCUCUCCCAAAACCCAACCCACACAGUUUUAUCCAGUAAAGUUAAUAUUAGAGGUCCUGGGGCCAAAAUGAUCUCAACCUAUUCUCAAACUUUAAAUGGGUAAGA